AACGAUGUGAUCGCUUGACGGGUAAAGGUGGGAGUAACGGAUCAGGCAGGCAACUGAACAGUUCGUCCUCUCGCGGUGAAUGGAUACGAGUUCGCAGACUU
rnacentral:SRP_RNA from 1 species